rnacentral:rRNA from 1 species
UACGUAGGGUCCGAGCGUUGUCCGGAAUUACUGGGCGUAAAGAGCUCGUAGGCGGUUUGUCGCGUCUGCUGUGAAAACUGGGGGCUCAACUCCCAGCCUGCAGUGGGUACGGGCAGACUAGAGUGGCGGUAGGGGAGAUUGGAAUUCCUGGUGUAGCGGUGGAAUGCGCAGAUAUCAGGAGGAACACCGAUGGCGAAGGCAGAUCUCUGGGCCGUAACUGACGCUGAGGAGCGAAAGCAUGGGGAGCGAACAGG